rnacentral:sRNA from 2 species
GUGGGUCUGUUUGGUCCUUCCAAGUUCCCACUUCUCAGGAGCGCCAGCAGUGCCAGCGUCAAAUCUUUGAACCAUAGCGCGCCGGGCGGCGAGCGGCGGGGGGAAGCAAGGGAAUCAAUCAAUGAAAACAAAAAAUUCACGAAGGGAUGAUGGAAGAAAUCUCCCCAAACAGGGUUGACUGUGGCUUGUGUCACCUUACCGCCGUGCUGGACAGGCUGGGCUUGGGCCAGGGCUCCAUACCUAUUCCAAGGCUCGGUGCAGCGCCAAUCACACGAGUGAGCUGCAUCUGCAGCGUUGCGAUCUCCGACAGGAUGUUGUGAGAAAUGACGUCGAGAGUGAAACCGCCCAAGUGUCACACAAGAAUUGGAUCAAUGUAUUCAAUUUUGAAGUUCCUCGUACUCCGUACGCAGUAUAGCGUUGUCGCCCU